GGCGCGAUGGCGUGGCCGAAGACGCGGAUGUCGCCGCCGUCCGGGGCGAUCAGGCCCAUCAGCAUGCGCAGGGUCGUCGUCUUGCCCGCGCCG
rnacentral:tRNA from 1 species